CGGGGUGUGGCGCAGCCUGGUCAGCGCGCCUGGUUUGGGACCAGGAGGUCCCCGGUUCAAAUCCGGGCACCCCGACCA
rnacentral:tRNA from 1 species